UACGUAGGUGGCAAGCGUUAUCCGGAUUUAUUGGGUGUAAAGGGCGUGUAGGCGGGAGCGCAAGUCAGAUGUGAAAACUCAGGGCUCAACCCUGAGCCUGCAUUUGAAACUGUGUUUCUUGAGUGCUGGAGAGGCAAUCGGAAUUCCCUGUGUAGCGGUGAAAUGCGUAGAUAUACGGAGGAACACCAGUGGCGAAGGCGGAUUGCUGGACAGUAACUGACGCUGAGGCGCGAAAGCGUGGGGAGCAAACAGG
rnacentral:rRNA from 1 species